CAUGCCGUAAACGAUGAGUGCUAAGUGUUAGGGGGUUUCCGCCCCUUAGUGCUGCAGCUAACGCAUUAAGCACUCCGCCUGGGGAGUACGACCGCAAGGUUGAAACUCAAAGGAAUUGACGGGGGCCCGCACAAGCGGUGGAGCAUGUGGUUUAAUUCGAAGCAACGCGAAGAACCUUACCAGGUCUUGACAUCCCCUGAAUGACUCGUAAUGGAGGAAGCCCCACGGGGCAGGGAGACAGGUGG
rnacentral:rRNA from 1 species